rnacentral:misc_RNA from 1 species
GUAGAAGACAAUUUGUUAAUCAUCAAAUUUAUUCUUGCAAUUCUAGACUCAUCCAUAAACUCAGAAGAAAAACAUGCUGCCACCUUAAAGUACUACCUUACCAUUCCCCUAGUAGCACUUAGUAGGGUUCUUCAGUUUUCAUUCUAUGUAAAUUGCUUAAGUCUAAAACUUCAUGAUGACGAGAACAAAGAUUGUCAAUUUUUUGAACUAAACUUCCCACAAAUUCUAUUUUUAUUUUUAAGAACAAAAUUUUCCUCCUUUCCCCUCUUGACAAGUAAAAGCCACCU